UGGGAGCACCCUUUGGGGUGUGACUGCGUACCUUUUGUAUAAUGGGUCAGCGACUUAUAUUCUGUAGCAAGGUUAACCGAAUAGGGGAGCCGGAGGGAAACCGAGUCUUAAUUGGGCGUUAAGUUGCAGGGUAUAGACCCGAAACCCGGUGAUCUAGCCAUGGGCAGGUUGAAGGUUGGGUAACACUAACUGGAGGACCGAACCGACUAAUGUUGAAAAAUUAGCGGAUGACCUGUGGCUGGGGGUGAAAGGCCAAUCAAACCGGGAGAUAGCUGGUUCUCCCCGAAAGCUAUUUAGGUAGCGCCUCGUGAAUUCAUCUCCGGGGGUAGAGCACUGUUUCGGCUAGGGGGCCAUCCCGGCUUACCAACCCGAUGCAAACUGCGAAUACCGGAGAAUGUUAUCACGGGAGACACACGGCGGGUGCUAACGUCCGUCGUGAAGAGGGAAACAACCCAGACCGCCAGCUAAGGUCCCAAAGUCAUGGUUAAGUGGGAAACGAUGUGGGAAGGCCCAGACAGCCAGGAUGUUGGCUUAGAAGCAGCCAUCAUUUAAAGAAAGCGUAAUAGCUCACUGGUCGAGUCGGCCUGCGCGGAAGAUGUAACGGGGCUAAACCAUGCACCGAAGCUGCGGCAGCGACACUCAGGUGUUGUUGGGUAGGGGAGCGUUCUGUAAGCCUGUGAAGGUGGCCUGUGAGGGUUGCUGGAGGUAUCAGAAGUGCGAAUGCUGACAUAAGUAACGAUAAAGCGGGUGAAAAGCCCGCUCGCCGGAAGACCAAGGGUUCCUGUCCAACGUUAAUCGGGGCAGGGUGAGUCGACCCCUAAGGCGAGGCCGAAAGGCGUAGUCGAUGGGAAACGGGUUAAUAUUCCCGUACUUGGUGUUACUGCGAAGGGGGGACGGAGAAGGCUAUGUUGGCCGGGCGACGGUU
rnacentral:rRNA from 1 species